rnacentral:rRNA from 1 species
UACAGAGGUCUCAAGCGUUGUUCGGAUUCAUUGGGCGUAAAGAGCGUGUAGGCGGCCUGGAAGGUCAGCUGUGAAAACUCGAGGCUCAACCUCGAGACGUCGGUUGAAACCACCUGGCUAGAGUCCGGAAGAGGAGAGUGGAAUUCCCGGUGUAGCGGUGAAAUGCGCAGAUAUCGGGAAGAACACCGGUGGCGAAGGCGGUCUGCUGGGCAGUUGCUGACACUGAGGCGCGACAGCGUGGGGAGCAAACAGA